UAGGAAUCUUCCACAAUGGACGCAAGUCUGAUGGAGCAACGCCGCGUGAGUGAAGAAGGUUUUCGGACCGUAAAGCUCUGUUGUUGGUGAAGAAGGAUAGAGGUAGUAACUGGCCUUUAUUUGACGGUAAUCAACCAGAAAGUCACGGCUAACUACGUGCCAGCAGCCGCGGUAAUACGUAGGUGGCAAGCGUUGUCCGGAUUUAUUGGGCGUAAAGCGAGCGCAGGCGGAAGAAUAAGUCUGAUGUGAAAGCCCUCGGCUUAACCGA
rnacentral:rRNA from 1 species